CAUCCUGCAAUUUCACCCAAUUUUGUUGAUCGUUCCCCUUUCUCCCUCUCUUUUUCAUAUUACCGGCAAACUACUUGACCGUCCUCUUUUCGUCGUUCCCACUGUUUACAGCGGAAAAUUUCGGGCUCCUCUUUGAAGGUAGCUUUGAGAUUAUUCACUCUCAUUGUCGUUUCCUAGUGUCUGUGCCAAAAAAGUGUUUCAAUUUUUCUUCAUCGGAACAGAAGCAUUUAAGCAAAAAGAUAUUGGUGAUCUUUAGAUCAUGAAUUCCAGGAGAGAUCUCCGUACCAAUAGAGCUGCCCUUUUUGAUGGCAUUGAAGAGGGUGGCAUCAGGGCCUCGUCUUCUUACUCCCAUGAAAUUGAUGAACAAGAUAAUGAAAGAGCUAUGGAAGGAUUGCAAGAUCGAGUCAAUCUU
rnacentral:misc_RNA from 1 species